AAAAAAUCGAGUGAACCAUAGUGAGAACAGAUCUGGACGAGCUGAAAACAGGGUAAAAAACUUUCCGAUUUUGAAGCAAGGUCCAGCGUUAAUUUCCAAUUGUAACUCUUCCCUUUCAUCUUCCUCUGAGAAAACCUAGGGUCCAUUGUUGCAGAUCCUCCAGUCUCGAGCAGGUCCUUCAUGAUUUUUGUUUUCUGAAUUAGCGUCAGCUUCUCUAAUAAUCUCAAACAUCUUUGUUUGUAGGUUCUUUGCCAGCAGGCCAGAUGAAAGCAGAACCUUGAACUCGCUAUAGAUACCAAAUGCUUAAAAUUACCCGUUGUUGGGGGAUUGAUGUGCGGUGACUAUGUUUUUUGUGUUGGGGAAAGAAAAACAUCCGAGAAGCUAUUGCAUCGAAAGCUCUUCCUAUUUCACAUUGUGCGACACCCCCAUCAAGUUGUUCUCAGUGAAAGCGCACUUGUACAGUAAGUCCAAGAUGAGUUUUUAUUAAUUGUGCAUUCACCUCCUAUAAGUGACACAAUCGGCUGCCACGGAAGUGAAAAUUUAUUCCACGAGAUUGAUGUUCUUCCAUCAACAGCAACAAAUGAAGAAUCAAGAAUUGAUGUUUUGCUUCUUGAAUCUUUUGUUUUGGGGCUAGAGGGAGAGGGGAUGGUUAUAUUCUUGUUCAUUCCAUGUGAAAGAACCUGAAAAUUGUAUGGUGUAUAAAGAAAUGGGGUCGGGGCGGGUUAGAAAAGUGGGUCGGGCGG
rnacentral:lncRNA from 1 species